AACAGGAUGUAUUCCGGUAGGUUAAGCCGAACUUAAAAGCUCUCUGCAACAACAAUUGGGUUGAGGUGAGGUGAUAGACGUACCAUGAAGCCUAGUGUCAACAGAGACGAGCAAUUAGAUAGGAAGUACGUAAGAAGUCAAUUGUAGCGCUUAAUAAUUUCAGAAAGGAAUGAUCUAAUUUUCUCGUUGUUACCUCAUUAAAAAAUUACUGUACGGACCGUUAUCUAUUUUUCGCGAAAGUGUGAAAAAUGAAGUAUCCGUGUAUACAAGAAAGAAAUAUAUGGACAUAACUAAGCGAAA